rnacentral:tRNA from 1 species
CCCUGGCAGCUCAGACAGUAAAGAGUCCGCCUGCAAUGCAGGUGACCCAGGUUCGAUUCCUGGGUCAGGAA